rnacentral:rRNA from 1 species
CAGCAGCCGCGGGAACACGGAGGGUGCAAGCGUUAAUCGGAAUUACUGGGCGUAAAGCGUGCGUAGGCGGUGAGUUAAGUCUGCUGUGAAAUCCCCGGGCUCAAUCUGGGAAUGGCAGUGGAUACUGGCUCGCUAGAGUGUGUCAGAGGAUGGUGGAAUUCCCGGUGUAGCGGUGAAAUGCGUAGAGAUCGGGAGGAACAUCAGUGGCGAAGGCGGCCAUCUGGGACAACACUGACGCUGAGGCACGAAAGCGUGGGGAGCAAACAGGAUUAGAUACCCCGGUAGUCCCUGUCUCUUAUAC